CAACCCCCCCCUGCCUUUCAAAGGGGGGAGUUAGGGCUCAAAAUUGAGUUUUUGAUCCUUCGAACGUGAGCUCGCAUUUGACCGAAACCCUUCAAUCAAACCCCGUCGAUUUCUUCAAGCCUUGAAAGCACCGAACAUUCCAUUUCAAAUCUAGUUAUUCUUUUGGAACGUGAAUCUGAGUGGGGAAAGAUGAAUUGAAGUUGAAGCCAAGCAGGCAAGAAGAGCUCUCAGAGCAGGGACUAGGGUUUGAACAAACUCAGCAGUCGACCGAUGAAUUUUCCCCGAGUGUUAUGAUUGGAAGUGUUGUCCUACCUCAUAAUACGCAGAUCGUGGGUCUCUCUCCACGGACACGAGUCUUCCACCCUCAAACAUAUAUAGUUCCACAUAUGUAGUUCCGCCCCUGCUCCCGAAUGCGGUUUCCUCAAAUCGCCUUAACUCUAUCUCAUCAACAGCACGGCAAUUUGAUGGCAGCAUCGAACUUCCAGAUGCAAUAGAUCAUGUAGAGGACGCCAUUGAUGUCGAGGAUGAAUCAGAUGCAGCAGCAGCACAGUGUGCUGGCAGCAGGCGGGGAUCUACGGGCAGCUUAUGGUGCAUCUACAACUGCAUCAGCUGCAGUAAUUUCUGAAUCUGCAACAGCAACAGUCUCUGAGGAGGGCAGUGCCUCCUGGCCACUCUUAAGUUUGGCAGGAUGACACAGAGCUAUUGGAUCUGGAAUAGCUACACCAGCGGGGAGUUCAAGCCUGGGAUUCUGGGAACCUAAGCAAGAAAUCAAUUUCUUGGAGGAGAAUGAUUUAGGAUUUGGUUUUGCAGCUUCCCUUACAUUCUAGUUCCCUAUCCUUUUUACCAUGUUAGGCUGUCAGGUAGGGAUUGUUCAAUUCCUGCUUUGGGUGUUUAGAUGGAUCCAAAUGGAAAGCUGGAUCCCAAAGUUGAAGAUAUCCUUUUGGAGCUUGCUGAUGACUUCGUUGAUUUGGUCACGGAUUUGAAUUGUGGAAGCAACCUCUGUAAAAUGCAAGGCUAAGGAUGCAUACAAAAAUGACAGUCCCCAAUCCCAGCAAAGUGGGGACCAUUGUGCAAUGAGUUUGAUUGUAGGUUCCUUUGCUGAAGUAUAGUGAAUUCAAGUGAUUCCCGUGGCACAUUUGACUCGGUUCUACUUGGAUGAUAAGGACGAUCAUUGAGGUUUUGAAAGGUAAACAUUUGCAUGCAGCUUGGUACAGAUCACAAUUCUUCAAUUCUUCUAUUUUUGCUAGGUUUGUUCAUGUCUCUUCAUCUCAGUAUAUUUGUGUUGUCGUAUAUGAGAAAAAUUGACCAUUCAAUAUAUGUUCUACAUGGAGUUGCACAUGUUAAAUCUCAUUGAAAAAUUCAAAGAAGCUGCAGUACAUGCUUCACUGCUCGCAUUUAUCUGCAUUUUUCAUGUAGCAUCUAUUGUGACUGGAUUUGCAGGUGUCUGAUAUAUCAUUCAUGUCAAUAGCUUCUACUUUCAUUAUAAGGAUUCCAUUUUGAUGCUCGCCUCUUAGGCAUACCUUCAAUUUCUUUCCGACAUUUUAAUGUAGUAUGAUCUUUGUAUAAUAUUUCAUACAUCAAUACUGAAAUUUUUAAGAAUUGCAAAUUCCCAUAUUGCUUUAAUUAAUUUUAUAUGAAAGCUAUGCAAGCGCAUGAACAUAGAAUAAUGAAAGCAAUGAAAAAGGACUGAAUAUUUCUUUUAUUAAUAUACUCCAUUCUUCAAACCACCCCCGCCUCUUUGGACCAUACAUAUAAUCCUGAGGCCUUCAUAUGACAUUUCCUUUUCCCUUCAGUCGAUCCCCAUCAGAAGUCACUCAAUUUCCUACUAUCUUUUCACAAGAGUUCCUUAUGUAAGUUAGAAGAACUAAUUGAUUUCCUAUGUUCUCCCUAUCUUCUGUCUACUCGCAUCCUCCUUCUUUAGUGCCUCUGUAGCAUUUUCCAAUCCUCUUCCUGUCUUCUCUUAAAGUCACAUUUUAUAACUUAUUCAGCUACAUCUUCUUGCCUCUGAAAUUUCUUAUUCAUUUUCUAAAUAUGCUUUCUGCAUGUAUUUUGCUCUCGUAGUUCUAUCCAUUGUAUCUCUUUGGCAGCGUUAGGGGCAGUCAGUGGUGGAGGCAGCAAUCCAUUUGUACUUUCUCAACAUGAGUUCCUGCAUAAUAGUUCACCAUCUCCCUUUCCAACUCACGGGAAAAAAGGCUGCCAAGUUUUCUAAUUUUCGGGCUCUGAUUGUUUCUUGAGAGUUGAUAAUUUCAGCAUACUCACCAGAUAAAAUAUGUGGGAAAGGCUGAAGGGCUGAGAUUAUGGAAACACAAAUGACAAAAACCCAAACCCAGUCUCUAUUUUUGGUCGAGAUUCUGACUAACCUAUUCUUUCGUUGUCUGUGAGUGAGGAAGAUUUGGGUUUUAUUUUUUUCUUUUAAAAAAAGCCAAAUUUGCUUGGCCUUGUAACAAUGACAUCCGAGAGUUUUGUGGGUUUUUGGUAGAUGGAGAAAGUAAGGAUUUGUGAUAAGUAACUCAUCGUUUAGUGCUUUAAGAGUUAGUUUAUUUUUUAUAAUGUGAGCGCAAUAAUAGAUAUUUUCAUGAGUCGGAGUGGGCAGAGUCUUAGUUGGCGCAUCUAUUUCAUAGUGCGGUUUAAAAUCGCAUUUCUAUUAUCAAGUUUUUCUAGUUUCUUUAGGGAUUGGCUUUGGUUCACAUUUGAAGUCUCCAAAUUGCAUUUAAUAAAGUUUUUUAGGUGCUAGAGUGUGGACUUCUAUGUUGCGGAGGUUUAGU